AUCUACGACCAUAGAAAGAGGAACAAAGGGUAUCCCGUCCGCUCUGCCUUACUCAAGCCUCUUAUCGAUCAGCCAGUAGUGUAGUCGGAGAUGAUAUGCGAAUCCUGAUUGUUGUAGAUC
rnacentral:rRNA from 1 species